rnacentral:sRNA from 1 species
UACACCAUCUAUGAUAUAACCUCUAGAAUGAUCGCUGCUGCUGCCCUUUGCGCUAGAAUCCAGCUCUGGUGCCCUGAGAGGUAGAAAGUCCUCAAACAGUUGGAGGUGCAGUGUUCUCGCGCUUUCCCUUGAAGUUAGUUAAACUUCCACUCAAGCUUUGGAGGCGUCAAAUAAGCAGUUUGCAGCCUUUUCUUUCCUUUCUUUCCCUUAUUUUGCUUUAGAGGGACGGGUGACCAAACAAAUGUUCUGGGGGGCCGUUAAGCAGAACAAAAUUCUUUGCGAGAGCACGUGCCAGCUUUAUUACAAUGCACGGCACACUCUGAGAGCUUUUGGCACGCACUGGAGCACAAUGAAUUCUGGAGCUCUGGGGACAAAGAACGCUGCUAAUUUGUGCAGCCACUGCCUGAGAGCCUGGGAGCUGGGCGGGGAGCUUGGAGGACACUCCUCUAAGAAAGGAUGUUAGAGAAUCGGCGUAGAUGGGUUUGCCAGGCAUAGGAAGGGGAAAGACCCAUCUGGGGUGAUAUUCCGGUUUCUGCUGACCCAUGGGCCUGAUGUCAGGAUAUCUUGUCCCACCCCAUAUAGCUCAAAUCUGUACCUUCCCCGCUGGAAACUCGCCUCUCUAAGCCACACAGCUGCUACCACUGACCUUCUGAGAGGAAGGCAACGUACGCUAAUAUUUAUAGAGGAAACCAGGAAGUGAGGAGGCACAGCCUGGGCUUCCUGAUGGGGUUGUUGACUCAUAGUGCCAUACUUCCAGCGAUUUCCUUCAUUUCUUUGUACCUCAGUUUCUUAGCAAAUCAUGAAGGAUGAAAAUGGAAUCCCCUAGAGGUACAGGGAAUACCUAAUUGGCAUUUAUGGGGUUUUUUUUUUUUGUUUUUGUUUUGUUUUUGAGAUAACAACAUAGAUAGCUUCCUUACAUGAAAGAUUGCUUCUUUAUGUUCAUCUCCCCAGCAUAGGACUGAAGAAAUACUAUUUGAGGUCCUGUGUGGGAUACAGCACUACUUCAGCUCGUCCACAGCAGCUGACUAUGAUUUGUCUCAUGCUCUGGCAGGGAUUCUGCCAGCUGAAGAUAGUUUGUGUUUGGAAUUCUGGGGACUCUUGAGAGGGUUUAAAAAUGGCAGAGCCCUGAGAGGCUGCUGCGACUGCUUCUCCCUGAGCUGCUGCUGGUUCCUGUCACUGUGGUUUGUCAAGUAGUCCUGGGUAAAGAGAUGAGAAGAAGAAAUUAGAUAUCCUGAUGGUGAAGAUUGGGCUUGCCUCAAGGAACUCACGGCUCCUAAUCAGCAGGAAGGAAUCGGAAGAGAUCUAGGCCCCUUUCCUCCUCUAACCUUCUUUCUCUCCUGCCUAGUGAUGGGUGGGUGGGAAGGGUUGGGAGGUAGAUAAAGGAAUCUAAUAAAGUAACCAAAAAGUAUGCACACACUGAAUAUUCUCCAGUCCUCGAAAACUCUCUUUUGCAAAGAUCUCAUUCAUCAUCAAGGCUUCACAUGGGAACUCCGAGUGCUUGGAAUGGAUUCCACGCCUCUCUGCAGACUACACCUUUCCUUCCAGUUUUGGAAGCUAAACCUUCUACUCCACGUAGCAUAUAGAAAUUUCAACUCAAGUGAUCCAAGUAAUCUAAUACACACUUGGAUGGGGCAGUCCAUGCCUGUCAUCCUCCCACUGAGACUGAGGGAAGAGGACCACAAGUUUGAGAGUAGCCCAGGCUACUCAUUUCAAAAAGCCAUAAAUAAAUAACACACAUGAUGUAACACACUCUGUUUACCCCACAUCCUUUUGUUUUCUCUGCCUGGGCACCUCCCAUGAACCAUCUGUUUUCCCAAGCCAGGGGCAUUGUCAUCCUCUUUGAUUGAUUCUGUUCUCUUUCUCCACGACAUGAUUUGUAUGUGACAAACAGAAGUGACUGUCCCAUGGAGGAAUUUUCUUUGGAUCAUGGUUUCAAGUGCUGUUGUGCACCAUGGAAAAGAAAACAUGGCGGAAUUCACAUGGCAGAGAUGUUCCCCUUGGACAAAGAUUCCUCCCAUGCCAGUGGACAGGAAGCAAAGACUAGAUUGGACCAAUAGACCUGCCCUUACUAAUCUACUUGUGCCAGCCAGGCCCUAACUUCUAGGGGCCCCACAGCUUUCAACCAUACCCUGGCAAUGGAGAGUUUAAAACAUAAGGCUGUAGGAGACAUUUCUGAUUCAAAUCCCAACACUAUCACAGCGUUCGUUGGUACGUGUUGGAAUUGCCUGUAGAUUGUGCUCUGGGAAUGUAGGGGUAGAACUGUCUUUUAUACCACUGUAUCCUACCUAGAGGUUUGCAAAUAAGAGGGCAGGGGCCUAUGUUAGAUAUUUGCUAGUUAAAUAUUUAGUAUGCUAGUGUAAGCAUUUACCCUAAAUUUAAGGGCUUAAGACCACAAUUGUUUCAUUAUGUUGUAGGUUUCUGUCUCAGAAGGAGAAAAGAUGACUGCUGUAAUCUAAAGGCUAAAGGGCCUUCCUCUGAGAUGGCCACUCACAUGGUUUGGAGGCCUCUGCUACUGAGAAACUGUAUAGGCCUCUCCAGAUGUUUGCUUGAGAAUCUAUUUGAGAAUUGUCUUAGUUUGAGUUUCUGUUGCUGCAGUGAAGCACCGUGACCAAACGUUGAGGAGGAAAGAGUUUAUUUGGCUUACACUUUGAAGGAAAUCAGAACAUGAACUCAAGCAGGGCAGGAACCUGGAGGCAGGAGUCAAUAUAGAUGCCUUGGGGUAUUUUUUUGAGGGAGGAGUGCUGCUGUUUACUAGUUUGCUCCCUAAGCUUGUUCAGCCUUCUUUGUUAUAGAACCCAGGACCACCAGCCCAGGGAUGUCACCAUCCACCAUGAGCAGGGCCCUCCCUCACCAAUCACUAAGAAAAGGCCCCACAGCCAGAUAGCAACUGAGGUUCCUUCCUCUCAGACAUCUCUAGCUUGUGUCAAGUUGCCAUUCAACUCUCCGGUGUAACAAGGUAUCUUAUUUAUCCUAAGAAGCUAAGAAAGAGCAAAAGAGAAACUGUUGUAUCCUUUUGGUGUUGUUUGUGGUACUAGGGAUUGAAUUUAGAGUUGUGCACACGCUAGGCAAGUACUCUUAUUACUGAGUUACAUUCCUAGCCUAAACUGCCCUAGUUCUCACUUGAAUAAUUAUUUGGUUACAUUGCCAGUAAGGAAUUCAUUCAAAAUGACUAAAUACUACUUAUUCUUUUUUUCUUUUCUUU